rnacentral:rRNA from 1 species
UUGACUAGCUGAGAGGAGGUGCAUGGCCGUCGUCAGUUCGUACUGUGAAGCCAUCCUGUUAAGUCAGGCAACGAGCGAGACCCACGCCAACAGUUGCCAGCUCGUCCUCCCGGGGAUGGUGGGGACACUGUUGGGACCGCCUCUGCUAAAGAGGAGGAAGGAAUGGGCAACGGUAGGUCAGCAUGCCCCGAAUUAUCUGGGCUACACGCGGGCUACAAUGGGUGGGACAAUGGGUAUCGACACCGAAAGGUGAAGGCAAUCUCCUAAACCCAUCCGUAGUUCGGAUUGUGGGCUGCAACUCGCCCACAUGAAGCUGGAAUCUGUAGUAAUCGUGUCUCAAAAUGGCACGGUGAAUAUGUCCCUGCUCCUU